rnacentral:lncRNA from 1 species
GGGGAGCCAGUCAGUCAGUGAGUGGUUUGGAGCUCUUUGCAGGGAUAAAGGAUGUAAGAUGGCUUGGAUAAGAGACAGCCGCCCAUCAGCAAUGUGAUGCAGGGGCAAAACGCGUGCCAGGGAUUUAAAUCAACGCUAGCACCGUUCAGGAGAGAAGUGCUGAUGCAAGGCAAUAAUGAUCCAGGAUAAGACGAUGACUUCUCUGUUUCGUCUGACGAUGAAGACAGCCGUUACAGAAUUACCCACCAAAACGGACCAAGCAGCGGAGGAAGGAGCAGCACAAGGAGGACUAUAGGAAGCAGCGCGCUCGGGGGGUCAUGGCAUCCUGGUCGCUGGAGGUGUUGGAGUCCAGGAUUGACUGGACAUGGGAUCAAUUAUUUGAAGACUGCAACAACCUGCCGAGGGAGAGCGACGGACACGGGAGGCAGCCCCAAUAAUUAUUUUGGGGGGGGCACACGGGGAGAUUGGCGGAGUCAGGCGGUAGACCUGAGCCAACUCCCCGUGCUUACCGGAAGCAGCGUGGUACUGGUAGGGCACCGUGUUAUGCUGUGGAGCGCACGGUGUCCCCAGUACGCGUUCAAAGCCCGGUGCGCUACAUACCAGCCCACCGCAAGUGCCAUGCGAGUGCAGGCAUCGAGCCAGGGCGGAUGGUGCCAGCUCAGUGCGUCUGGUCUCCAGUGCGCCUCCUCGGUCCAGGUUAUCCUGCGCCGGCGCUGCGCACUGUGUCUCCAGAGCGCUGGGAGGGCCCAGUUCGCCCAAUGCCUGCGCUCCGCCUGUGCCGGGCCAAAGUGGGCAUUCAGCCUGGAGUAUGGGUAAAGAGCGUCCGUACCAGAACUCCAGUGCUCCCCCACAGCCCGGUUUAUCCUGUGCCUCCUCCUCGGAUCAGGCCUCCAGUGGGUCUCUCCAUCCUGGUUAAGCCUGUGCCUCCUCCACGGACCAGGCCUCCAGUGGGUCUCCCCAUCCUGGUCUCUCCUGUGCCGCCUCCUUGGACUAGGCCUCCAGUGGGUCUCGCCAGUCCAAAGCCGCCAGAGCUGCCCGCCAGUCCGGAGCCGCCAGAGCUGCCCGCCAGUCCGGAGCCGCCAGAGCCGCCCGCCAGUCCGGAGCCGCCAGAGCCGCCCGCCAGUCCGGAGCCGCCCGCCAGUCCGGAGCCGCCAGAGCCACCCGCCAGUCAGGAGCCGCCAGAGCCGCCCGCCUGUCCGGAGCCGCCAGAGCCGCUCGCCUGUCCGGAGCUGCCCGCAAGCCCGGUGAGUCCUGUGCCUGUGCCUAAGGCCAGGUCUCUUACAUGUCUCCUCAGCCUGGUGAAUCCUGGGUCAGUACCGCCAGGGACGCCCGCCAGCCGGGCGCAGCCAUCGCCGCCCGCCAGCCAGGCGCAGUUAUCACCGCCCGCCAGCCGGGCGCAGUCAGGGUUGCCCACCAGACCUUCGGCGCGGCCAUGUGCGCAACCUAAGAGGGCGACGCCGCGGGUGGAGCAGAGGCCACGUCCCGCACCUGAGCCGCCGCCGUAAGAAGGCCCACCCCUUUGGGGGGGGGGUACUGUAACGCCCUGGCCAUAGAGAGGGGUUUUUUGUUCUUUAUUUUGGUUAGGCCAGGGUGUUACAUUGGGUGGGCGUUCUAUGUUCGUUUUCUAGGUUUUUUGUAUUUCUUUGUUUUGGGCCGUGUGUGGCUCCCAAUCAGGCACAGCUGAAGUUCGUUGUUGCUGAUUGGGAGUUACACAUAAGGAGCAUGUUUUUCCUUUGGGUUUUGUGGGUAAUUGUUUCUGUUAGUGUUUUGCACCUGACAGGACUGUUUGGCUGUCGGUUUUCUUAUUUUUGUGUAGUGUUCUCUUUUGUUCUAAUUAAAAAU